rnacentral:tRNA from 2 species
GGGGCCAUAGCUCAGCUGGUAGAGCACCUGCAUGGCAUGCAGGUGGCCAGCGGUUCGAGUCCGCUUGGCUCCA